rnacentral:rRNA from 1 species
AUACGUAGGGUGCAAGCGUUAAUCGGAAUUACUGGGCGUAAAGCGUGCGCAGGCGGUCUUGCAAGACAGAUGUGAAAUCCCCGGGCUUAACCUGGGAACUGCAUUUGUGACUGCAAGGCUGGAGUGCGGCAGAGGGGGAUGGAAUUCCGCGUGUAGCAGUGAAAUGCGUAGAUAUGCGGAGGAACACCGAUGGCGAAGGCAAUCCCCUGGGCCUGCACUGACGCUCAUGCACGAAAGCGUGGGGAGCAAACA